rnacentral:rRNA from 1 species
GACAGAGGUGCCAAGCGUUAGGCGGAAUCACUGGGCUUAAAGCGUGUGUAGGCGGACCUCUAAGUACCUUGUGAAAUCCCACGGCUCACCCGUGGAACCGCUGGGUAUACUGGGGGUCUUGGGCCAUUCAGGGGCGACUGGAACAAGCGGUGGAGCGGUGAAAUGCGUAGAUAUCGCUUGGAACGCCGACGGUGAAAACAGGUCGCUGGGAAUGUGCCGACGCUGAGACACGAAAGCCAGGGGAGCAAACGGG